GCAGCACACAGAUCAGCAGGAGCAGCACAGCAGCCGAGCAACACAGCAGCAGGGGAGCAGCACAGCAGCAGGGCAGGGGCUCAGGGCAUUCAACUGCAGCAUGGCGGAUGGUGGUUGAUUGGUGGGAUGCUUUUUAGAGCAAAUUGCAGUUGAUUGGUGGGAUGCUUUUGGAGGACUUAAUAGAGAGCUUCAAAAUUUUGCAAGACGCAUCCUUGGCCUUUGUUACUCGGCUUCUGGUUGUGAGCGCAAUUGGAGUAUCUUCGAAUUUAUCCAUACCAAGAAAAGGAAUCAGUUAGAGCACCAAAGAUUGAAUGACUUGAUCUAUAUCCAAUACAACAUGAAGAUCGCGGAAAGGUUUCAGAAGAGUCGGGUGGAAGGGAUAAAUUACAACCCUUUGAUUUUAGAUGACCUUUGAUUUUAGAUGAGUUCCAAUGGGACGAUGAAUGGGUUGAAAUGAUGAGUAAUAACGAAGUCCAUCCCAGAGAUAAUCUCUUUUGGUCUCAUGUUGAUGAAGCCACCGGUGCAUCACAGUCACUUCAGGCCCCUAGGGUGACUAAGACUUAUUCUCGUCUUCGUCGAGGUGCUGGGUCAAUUCAUGAACAAGUAGAGGCUGUAGAGCAAAAUCGGGAGGAGAGGAAGAUGAUGAAGAAUUUACUGUUGUGGCCGAUGACCUUGACAUUAAGGAUGAUUAUGGCUGAGCACCGCCUAAUCCUGAUCAUGAUGGUGCUGAAGCUAAUGAGAAUGAGGGUGGCCUCAAUGACAUAGAUUUAGAUGUUGAUUAGGAGGAGUAUGACUAUAUGAGUGCAUGUGCAUCCAUAAAUGUUAUUUUAUUUCCUAUGAACUAUUAAGUAUCAACUAUGAACUCUAUAUGCAACAUGCAUAGCUAGCAUAUUGCUAACUGCUACUGCUUUAUUUUGAUAUAAAA